UAAGGAAUAUUGGUCAAUGGAGGCAACUCUGAACCAGCCAUGCCGCGUGCAGGAAGAAGGCCCUAUGGGUCGUAAACUGCUUUUGAACAAGAGAAAACCCCGGUACGUGUACUGGGUUGAUAGUAUUGUUAGAAUAAGCAUCGGUUAACUUCGUGCCAGCAGCCGCGGUAAGACGAAGGAUGCAAGCGUUAUCCGGAUUCAUUGGGUUUAAAGGGUGCGUAGGCGGACUGAUAAGUCAGUGGUGAAAUCUCUCGGCUUAACCGAGAAACUGCCAUUGAUACUGUUAGUCUAGAGUACAGAUGAUGUGGGCGGAAUAUGACAUGUAGUGGUGAAAUACUUAGAUAUGUCAUAGAACACCGAUUGCGAAGGCAGCUCACAAAACUGUAACUGACGCUGAGGCACGAAAGUGCGGGGAUCAAACAGGAUUAGAUACCCCCGUAGUCCCUGAGCGGGCUGGCAAGGCGCAU
rnacentral:rRNA from 1 species